GACGAACGCUGGCGGCGUGCCUAAUACAUGCAAGUCGCGCGAAUGGAUUAAGAGCUUGCUCUUAUGAAGUUAGCGGCGGACGGGUGAGUAACACGUGGGUAACCUGCCCAUAAGACUGGGAUAACUCCGGGAAACCGGGGCUGAUACCGGAUAACAUUUUGAACCGCAUGGUUCGAAAUUGAAAGGCGGCUUCGGCUGUCACUUAUGGAUGGACCCGCGUCGCAUUAGCUAGUUGGUGAGGUAACGGCUCACCAAGGCAACGAUGCGUAGCCGACCUGAGAGGGUGAUCGGCCACACUGGGACUGAGACACGGCCCAGACUCCUACGGGAGGCAGCAGUAGGGAAUCUUCCGCAAUGGACGAAAGUCUGACGGAGCAACGCCGCGUGAGUGAUGAAGGCUUUCGGGUCGUAAAACUCUGUUGUUAGGGAAGAACAAGUGCUAGUUGAAUAAGCUGACACCUUGACGGUACCUAACCAGAAAGCCACGGCUAACUACGUGCCAGCCGCCGCCGUAA
rnacentral:rRNA from 1 species